GCAUCGAUAGCUCAGUGGCAGAGCGGCUUUUAUUCAUGCGGCUCGGAUUCGAGCCCGGUCGAUGCA